GAUGAACGCUGGCGGCGUGCCUAAUACAUGCAAGUCGAGCGAACAGACGAGGAGCUUGCUCCUCUGACGUUAGCGGCGGACGGGUGAGUAACACGUGGAUAACCUACCUAUAAGACUGGGAUAACUUCGGGAAACCGGAGCUAAUACCGGAUAAUAUAUUGAACCGCAUGGUUCAAUAGUGAAAGACGGUUUUGCUGUCACUUAUAGAUGGAUCCGCGCCGCAUUAGCUAGUUGAUAAGGUAACGGCUUACCAAGGCAACGAUGCGUAGCCGACCUGAGAGGGUGAUCGGCCACACUGGAACUGAGACACGGUCCAGACUCCUACGGGAGGCAGCAGUAGGAAAUCUUCCGCAAAGGGCGAAAGCCUGACGGAGCAACGCCGCGUGAGUGAUGAAGGUCUUCGGAUCGUAAAACUCUGUUAUUAGGGAAGAACAAAUGUGUAAGUAACUAUGCACGUCUUGACGGUACCUAAUCAGAAAGCCACGGCUAACUACGUG
rnacentral:rRNA from 1 species